rnacentral:rRNA from 1 species
UACGGAGGGUGCAAGCGUUAUCCGGAUUCACUGGGUUUAAAGGGUGCGUAGGCGGCUAGAUAAGUCCGGUGUGAAAGUCACAGGCUCAACCUGUGAAUGCCGCUGGAAACUGUCUGGCUAGAGUCCGGAAGGGGCGAGUGGAAUUCCUGGUGUAGCGGUGAAAUGCGCAGAUAUCAGGAGGAACACCAAUGGCGAAGGCAGCUCGCUGGGACGGUACUGACGCUGAGGCGCGAAAGCGUGGGGAGCGAACAGG